rnacentral:tRNA from 1 species
CCUUCAAUAGCUCAGUUGGUAGAGCGGUGGACUGUAGUUGUAUGAUAAUCAAGAGUAGAAAUCCAUAGGUCGCUGGUUCAAAUCCGGCUUGAAGGA